AUACGGAGGAUCCGAGCGUUAUCCGGAUUUAUUGGGUUCAAAGGGUGCGCAGGCGGCCAUUUAAGUCAGCGGUUAAAUCGUGGGGCUCAACCCCAUUCUGCCGUUGAUACUGGGUGGCUUGAUUGCGGUCGAGGUUGGCGGAAUUCGUUGUGUAGCGGUGAAAUGCAUAGAUAUGACGAAGAACACCGAUUGCGUAGGCAGCUGACCAGACCGCAAAUGACGCUCAUGCACGAAAGUGCGGGGAUCGAACAGGAUUAGAUACCCUGGUAGUCCGCACAGUAAACGAUGAAUACUUGUUUUCGGCGAUAUAAUGUCGGAGGCAAAGCGAAAGCGAUAAGUAUUCCACCUGGGGAGUACGCCGGCAACGGUGAAACUCAAAGGAAUUGACGGGG
rnacentral:rRNA from 1 species